rnacentral:snRNA from 1 species
UUCCAAAACAAAACAAAAAA